GACGAACGCUGGCGGCGUGCUUAACACAUGCAAGUCGAACGAUGAAGCCCAGCUUGCUGGGUGGAAGAGUGGCGAACGGGUGAGUAACACGUGAGUAACCUGCCCUGAACUCUGGGAUAAGCACUGGAAACGGUGUCUAAUACUGGAUACGACCUAUCACCGCAUGGUGUGUGGGUGAAAAGAUUUAUCGGUUCUGGAUGGACUCGCGGCCUAUCAGCUAGAUGGUGAGGUAAUGGCUCACCAUGGCGACGACGGGUAGCCGGCCUGAGAGGGUGACCGGCCACACUGGGACUGAGACACGGCCCAGACUCCUACGGGAGGCAGCAGUGGGGAAUAUUGCACAAUGGGCGCAAGCCUGAUGCAGCAACGCCGCGUGAGGGAUGACGGCCUUCGGGUUGUAAACCUCUUUUAGUAGGGAAGAAGCGAAAGUGACGGUACCUGCAGAAAAAGCACCGGCUAACUACGUG
rnacentral:rRNA from 1 species